GGGCCCGUAGCUCAGCUGGUAGAGCGCCGCGCUUACACCGCGGACGUCGUCGGUUCGACCCCGGCCGGGCCCA
rnacentral:tRNA from 1 species